rnacentral:rRNA from 1 species
ACCAGUUACAGCAAUUGAUGGAUGCCUUGGCGUCAUCAGGCGAUGAAGGACGCAGUAAGCUGCGAUAAGCUUCGGGGAGCGGCACGCACGCUUUGAUCCGAAGAUUUCCGAAUGGGGAAACCCGGCGUCGUUUAUACGACGUCACUUCGGUGUGAAUACAUAGCACCGAUAGAGCGACACGCGGCGAAGUGAAACAUCUCAGUAACCGCAGGAAAAGAAAGAGAAUCGAUUCCGUUAGUAGUGGCGAGCGAAAGCGGAACAGCCCAAACCGUCGGGAUUUAUCCUGACGGGGUUGCAGGACCACAACGUGGACUGAAGUGAGUUAGACGAACACUCUGGAAAGUGUGACCACAGCGGGUGAUAGUCCCGUAGUUUAAAACUCAUUUCUACCUAGUGGCCUCCUAAGUAGCACGGUGCACGUGAAACUCCGUGUGAAUCCAUGCCGACCACGGCAUAAGGCUAAAUACUCGUUGACGACCGACAGUGAACUAGUACCGCGAGGGAAAGGUGAAAAGCACCCCUGUUAGGGGAGUGAAAUAGUAACUGAAAUCAAUUGCUAACAAGUCAGUGGGAGCUCCCUUGUGGGGUGACCGCCUGCCUUUUGUAUAAUGAGUCUGCGAGUUAUUGCCCGUAGCAAGCCUAAGUCGCUAAGCGACGCAGGCGCAGCGAAAGCAAGUCCGAAUAGGGCGCUUAGUUGCUGGCAAUAGACCCGAAGCGGAGGUGAUCUAACCAUGGCCAGGUUGAAACUUCAGUAAAAUGAAGUGGAGGACCGAACCCUUCAAUCUUGAGAAAUUGUGGGAUGAGCUGUGGUUAGGAGCGAAAGACUAAUCAAACCCCCUGAUAGCUGGUUCUUUCCGAAAUAUAUUUGGGUAUAGCGUCGGAUGCUGAUUUGCGGAGGUAGAGCACUAAAUAAGCUAGGGCCCCUACCGGGGUACUGAACUUAAUUAAACUCCGAAUACCGCAGAGUGAAGUCCGGCAGUCAGACUGUGGGGGAUAACCUUCAUAGUCGAGAGGAGAAUAAUCCAUACCAUCAGUUAAGGUCCCAAAAUACGGCUCAGUGAAAAAGGAUGUGAUUUUGCUUAGACAAUGGGGAUGUUGGCUUAGAGGCAGCCAUCAUUUAAACAGUGCGUAACAGCUGACCCAUCGAGCGAAAUUGCGCCGAAAAUGAUCGGGACUUAAGCCGUAUACCGAAGCUAUGGGUUUACCGCAAGGUAAGCAGUAGGAAAGCGUUCCAAGUGCAGCGAAGUGGAAGGGUAACCGACCAUGGAGCGCUUGGAAGUGAGAAUGCAGACAUAAGUAACGAUAAAGAUGGUUGAAUUCCAUCUCGCCUAAAUCCCAAGGAUUCCUGGGGAAGGUUCGUCCUCCCAGGGUUAGUCGGGUGCUAAGACGAGGCCGUAAGGAGUAGUCGAUGCCAAGCUGGUUUAAUAUUCCAGCACCACUCGAAACCGUUUGAUCCAUAGAGUGACGGAGAAAGUUAACAGAGCAACGUGUUGAAUCGUUGUCCAAGCUCGUAGGUUGUUCGGGGAUAAAAUACCGGAUAAGACCGUAAAGCGACGGGACCUCAAAGCCACGGCUGAGAGGGAUUCUGUGAUACUAUGCUUCCAAGAAAAACUUUGUGGUUAGGCCAAGAGUGCCCGUACCGUAAACCGACACAGGUGGGAAAGAUGAGUAUUCUAAGGCGCGCGAGUCAAAUCUCUCUAAGGAACUCGGCAAAUUAACCCCGUAUCUUCGGUAUAAGGGGUGCCUCGAAAGAGGCCGCAGUUAAUUGCGUCAACCGACUGUUUAGCAAAAACACAGCACUCUGCUAAGUCGCAAGACGACGUAUAGGGUGUGACACGUGACCAAUGCGGAAAGGUGAAAGUCUAGGGUGCAAGCUCUGGAUCUAAGCCCCCGUGAAUGUCGGCCGUAACUAUAACGGUCCUAAGGUAGCGAAAUUCCUUCUCGGGUAAGUUCCGACCUGCAC